AGCAGUGUAGCCUAGUUGAAAGAGCACGUGUCUGGGAAUCAGGGGACCUGGGUUCUAAUCCCGGUUCCGCCA
rnacentral:tRNA from 1 species